rnacentral:snoRNA from 1 species
AUUCCGUGAUGAGGGCAUCUUCAUAAUAGUUAUUUAAACUUUUCCCAUGCCUCAUACAAGAACUUGUCAUCCAUCUAUUGGAAAAUAGUGAUUUCACUCCUCAACUU